GGAUCCCUUUAAUUCGAGCGAAUGUUCGGUGUUCCAGUGAUGGUGCCAGUUUCGUCCACGGUGAUACCUCUUCCCGUUUACAAGGUCGUGUACAAUCUCGGAGUUCUCUCGAAGGACAAGAAGACCCAAUCCUCGUUCAAACCGGAGGGUGCCGUGAAACUGAUCACGAAUAAAAAGGGCCAGGAGAAGAAAACGUAAGAUCGUCGAGGACGAAACGCGCGCGAAUCAAAAGGACGAAUAGCUCUUCCAUCAGCGAGCCGAGGAUCCGUCGUCGACGAGCUGUGAAUUAAUGAACGUUUCGCCGUGUGAUGCACGAGAGUGAGAGUGAGAGAGAGAGAGAGAAUGUAGGGAGAGCAUUUCGUAAGUCGUAAGUUGAAUUUUUGAUAUGAAAGUCGCGUUUGUUACCGGCAACUUUUUACACCAAAAACUGAUUUACAUAUUAUAUCUCUCUGUUAUCCGAUCAAUGCCGACUAAUCGCGCGAGCACGACUAAUCGAUAAGCGUUUGUAGAUCGUAAAUUAGCAAGCCGUAGUCGUCGGGAUGCGGACGAGAUUCUGUUAAGUUUUCAUUGUAUUUAAUUCGAAAUAUAUAGCAUCGUUCUCGAA